AAUUCGCCCUUGGGGAAUUUUCCGCAAUGGGCGAAAGCCUGACGGAGCAAUACCGCGCGAGGGACGAAGGUCUGUGGAUUGUAAACCUCUUUUGUUAGGGAAGAUAAUGACGGUACCUAACGAAUAAGCAUCGGCUAACUCCGUGCCAGCAGCCGCGGUAAGACGGAGGAUGCAAGCGUUAUCCGGAAUUAUUGGGCGUAAAGCGUACGUAGGCUGUUAGAUAAGUCUGUUGUCAAAGCGCGAGGCUCAACCUUGUAAAGGCAAUGGAAACUGUUUGACUAGAGAGAGAUAGGGGCAGGAGGAAUUCCAGGUGUAGCGGUGAAAUGCGUAGAUAUCUGGAAGAACACCAGUGGCGAAAGCGUCCUGCUGGAUCUCAACUGACGCUGAAGUACGAAAGCUAGGGGAGCGAAUGGGAUUAGAUACCCCAGUAGUCCUAGCCGUAAACGAUGGGUACUAGGUGUUGGUCAUAUCGACCCGAUCAGUGCCGUAGCUAACGCGUUAAGUACCCCGCCUGGGGAGUACGGUCGCAAGAUUGAAACUCAAAGGAAUUGACGGGGGCCCGCACAAGCGGUGGAGUAUGUGGUUUAAUUCGAUGCAACGCGAAGAACCUUACCAAGGCUUGACAUGUCGUGAAUCCUUUUGAAAGAGAGGAGUGCCUUCGGGAGCACGAA
rnacentral:rRNA from 1 species